GAUGAACGCUGGCGGCGUGCUUAACACAUGCAAGUCGAACGGAAAGGCCCAAGCUUGCUUGGGUGCUCGAGUGGCGAACGGGUGAGUAACACGUGGGUGAUCUGCCCUGCACUUCGGGAUAAGCCUGGGAAACUGGGUCUAAUACCGGAUAGGACGAUGGUUUGGAUGCCAUUGUGGAAAGUUUUUUCGGUGUGGGAUGAGCUCGCGGCCUAUCAGCUUGUUGGUGGGGUAAUGGCCUACCAAGGCGUCGACGGGUAGCCGGCCUGAGAGGGUGUACGGCCACAUUGGGACUGAGAUACGGCCCAGACUCCUACGGGAGGCAGAAGUGGGGAAUAUUGCACAAUGGGCGCGAGCCUGAGGCAGCGACGCCGCGUGGGGGAUGACGGCCUUCGGGUUGUAAACUCCUUUCGCUAGGGACGAAGCGUUUUUGUGACGGUACCUGGAGAAGAAGCACCGGCUAACUACGUG
rnacentral:rRNA from 1 species